GACGAACGCUGGCGGCGUGCCUAAUACAUGCAAGUAGAACGCACAGUUUAUACCGUAGCUUGCUACACCAUAGACUGUGAGUUGCGAACGGGUGAGUAACGCGUAGGUAACCUGCCUGGUAGCGGGGGAUAACUAUUGGAAACGAUAGCUAAUACCGCAUAAUAUUGAUUAUUGCAUGAUAAUUGAUUGAAAGAUGCUAUUGCAUCACUACCAGAUGGACCUGCGUUGUAUUAGCUAGUAGGUGAGGCAACGGCUCACCUAGGCGACGAUACAUAGCCGACCUGAGAGGGUGAUCGGCCACACUGGGACUGAGACACGGCCCAGACUCCUACGGGAGGCAGCAGUAGGGAAUCUUCGGCAAUGGACGAAAGUCUGACCGAGCAACGCCGCGGGAGUGAAGAAGGGUUUCGGAUCGUAAAGCUCGGUUGUAAGAGAAGAACGGGUGUGAGAGUGGAAAGUUCACACUGUGACGGUAUCUGACCAGAAAGGGACGGCUAACUACGUG
rnacentral:rRNA from 1 species